rnacentral:misc_RNA from 1 species
CUUGCAUGCCUUUCUCGAUGCCAUUCUGCACUGGUUUUUGGAUUCCGCUUGCGGCAGAACAAGAUGCGCCGCAAAAAGAGUUGAAAGAGGAAGAAGAGACAGAAGAAGAAGAAGAGGAGGAGGAAGAAGAAAAGUGUCGCGAAUUGCUCGCGUUCGUAACGCAAUCGCGGCCACGAAAGCUUUCCAGCAUCGUCUGGUAACGAUUUGCCGAUAGCUGGUCCGCUGGAGGCUUCCUCGGAACGCGCAUCGAUUAUUCCAAAAGGGCG